GAUUUCAAUUGAAAAAUUCAUCAAUAAGAAAGUUGUAUAACUCAUCAAGAUCUAUAAGUUCUAUUUUGGUUAUUUUUUCAUCCGGUAAAGUGAUUUGCAAGAUUGUUCACAAAAUGUACAUCUCUUAAAACUAUAUAAGAGAUGUUCAUUUUGUGAACAAUCUUGCAAAUUACUUUAUCGGAUGAAGAAAUGACCAAAAUAGAAGUUAUAGAUCUUGAUGAGUUAUACAACUUUGUUAUUGAUAAUUUUUUUUAGAUGAAAUC
rnacentral:pre_miRNA from 1 species